GGAGGAAUCGCUAGUAAUCGCAGGUCAGCAUACUGCGGUGAAUACGUUCCCGGGCCUUGUACACACCGCCCGUCACACCAUGGAAGUUGGCCACGCCCGAAGCCGUUACUCCAACCCUUGUGGAGGAGGACGUCGAAGGUGGGGCUGAUGACUGGGGUGAAGUCGUAACAAGGUAUCCGUACCGGAAGGUGCGGAUGGAUCACCUCCUAA
rnacentral:rRNA from 1 species